CACGUAGGCGGACGACUAAGUCGGAUGUGAAAUCCCUGGGCUUAACCUGGGAACUGCAUCCGAUACUGGUCGCCUAGAGUAUGGAAGAGGGAAGCGGAAUUCCAGGUGUAGCGGUGAAAUGCGUAGAUAUCUGGAGGAACAUCAGUGGCGAAGGCGGCUUCCUGGUCCAAUACUGACGCUGAGGUGCGAAAGCGUGGGGAGCAAACA
rnacentral:rRNA from 1 species